rnacentral:lncRNA from 1 species
UGCUCACUCUAAUUUGUGAUCCCUCUUUGCUGUUCCAUUAGCCCCAUCAUCUCUGCAGCUUCUCACUCCUGGAAGUUUGCUGAACUCUCUUCUCCCUCCCUCUCCUUUUCUGCAUCAUCUUUGGUUUAUAAUUCCUUCAUUUCUUUACCGUCAUUUAGGUGAAGUCUUGAAGGAGGAGGCGGCCAACUAUUAUGUUUUUGAGGACGUCCUUAAUCUUUCUUUAAACUGCUCCUGGCGUCUGAAUGUGUGAAGAUGGUGUUGUCUAAUAUGUACCAACUGCUUUCAUUUUGGGGUGAAUACUGCAAAAGUAAAGUGAAAUAAGGGACUGAGCUGAACUGCCAGCACGUGCUUACCGUGUUCCUUCCUUUAUGACUGGCUGCUGUUCACUGCUGACCGACACCUGCCGAACCACAGCGCCUUCUUCUCACGGGAGAGUCUUCUGAUGUCUGCAUUUGAAUGACUUUUGCUGCUGCUGAAGAUACAAAAUUCUGUGCUGUACAUUACUCGUGAAGUGUGAAGUGUGAGGUGUGAAGUGUGAGGCUCGAGCGAGCAAUGGCAGCCCCAUUGGAGUAAACCUUCAGUGUCCCAAGGGAGCGGCUCCGAGGGCGAGGGCUCCCUCAGCGUGGAAGCUCUGGCACGUGUCUGAAGAUGAGUCACCGCAGCUCGUCCCCACACUGCUCCGUGGAAUAGCCAGCAUGCUGCAGGUGUUCAGUGUUCUCCACAGCGGGCUGAAGAGGCCGGAGUUGUCAGGCAAGAGACUGACUUGUCUGCUUGUACUUGAAAUGGAUUCGAAGAAACACAUGCAUUUGUCGAGGGGAAAACGCUUUCAAGGAGAGACCAUUUGAUGCUAAAAGGACCAUUUGAUGCUCUUUUAACCCUCUUGGUUUUAUUCAACUCCUUUCAUUACUUUCUGUUCCUGGCACCUUACCGAAGGAAGAAUAUGCCAAGAGUUUGAAUGAUGAAAGAGUAUUCUAUAUUUUUAGCUAUAUUUGCAUUUUACAAGUUUAUUUGAAAGAUAGUUUUGUGCAGUUAAUCUUUUUUUCUGUUUAAAUUAUUUUGAAAAUCUUAAAAAUAUCAUUUUUAGCCUUUUAAAUAAAUAUCAAAAUGCCCAUUACA